AGUGAACGCUGGCGGCGUGCUUAACACAUGCAAGUCGAACGAGAACGGGUUAUAGCUUGCUAUAAUUGUCAGCUAAGUGGCGCACGGGUGAGUAAUGUAUAGGUAAUAUGCCUCUUACUAAGGGAUAACAAAUGGAAACGUUUGCUAAUACCUUAUACUCCUUAUGAACAGAAGUUAAUAAGGGAAAGAUUUAUUGGUAAGAGAUUAGCCUGUAUUGUAUCAGUUAGUUGGUGGGGUAAUGGCUUACCAAGACUAUGACACAUAACUGGUUUGAGAGGAUGAUCAGUCACACUGGAACUGAGACACGGUCCAGACUCCUGCGGGAGGCAGCAGUGGGGAAUAUUGCACAAUGGACGAAAGUCUGAUGCAGCAACGCCGCGUGGAGGAUGACACAUUUCGGUGCGUAAACUCCUUUUAUAUGAGAAGAUAAUGACGGUAUUAUAUGAAUAAGCACCGGCUAACUCCGUGCCAGCCGCCGCAGUAA
rnacentral:rRNA from 1 species